GACCGCUCUGGUUGCCUAGUGGUUAGAGUAUCCGCCUCAGAUGCAGGUGGUCGUGGGUUCAAUUUCCGGUCGAGUCA